UACGGGGGGAGCAAGCGUUGUUCGGAUUUACUGGGCGUAAAGGGCGCGUAGGCGGCCAGCACAAGUCAGUUGUGAAAUCUCCGGGCUUAACUCGGAAAGGUCAACUGAUACUGUGCGGCUAGAGUGCAGAAGGGGCAACUGGAAUUCUCGGUGUAGCGGUGAAAUGCGUAGAUAUCGGGAGGAACACCAGUAGCGAAGGCGGCUCGCUGGGCCAUUCCUGACGCUGAGACGCGAAAGCUAGGGGAGCGAACAGG
rnacentral:rRNA from 1 species